GAGAAAGAAGCAUAAGCAGUAUAUGCGGCUGGCUUGAAACCAGCAUAUGGGGGUUCAACUCCUCCCUUUCUUG
rnacentral:tRNA from 1 species